AGGGUAUGAAUUCAUGUUUUUAGGAUUUAAAAAGUCAUUUUGAAAAAAAACAAAAAAAUUAAAGAGUCAUCCGGUAGGGGUGGCAAAUCAGGCCAGUGUGUUGUGUUUUUGUUCGACACGCAAAUAUUUUAUGUAAUACGAACACGACACGAUGUCGUGUUUUUUUUAACUAACACGAAAACGAACUAAUUAAAAAACGAUAAACACGACAAAGAUAAUAUAAAAUAACAAUUAGUUUAUUUAAUUAAUAUUUAAUUAUACAUAACACCAAAACCACGACAAAUAAAUACUAAAUCGUGUCAAUUUUGUGUCGAAUUUUGAACACGAACACGACAUCAUGUUUUUACACUUGACACGAAUACGUAUUCAAAUUUCACUUUUGUCCCAGUUUCGUUUUGUGUCGUGUAUUUUUCUCAUGUCGUGUUAACAAUUGUCACCCCUAUCACCCGGUGAACCCCUUCCUAAUCAACAGGUUUGAAGUUAAAAAAAUGUCAUCUCAUCAGACACAUCAUCCCUAAUAAAUGAAAAUAAUUUUGCCACAUGUCACUCUCUCAUUAACUUUGACACAUGUCAUUUUUUGAUAUUUUUGAUUAAAUGUUUUUUCCAUUUGUCAUUUUCUUAUUUUGUUUUUAUCUUUUCUUAAUUAACACAUCAUAUUUAGACCUCAAUUAAUAAUUACCUUAAUUGAAAAUAACCAAUAAAUUACAAUAUUAAUACUCAUAUAGUAUUUUAUAUGUUUCCUUUUAAAUUGAAAUUUUAAAUUUUAAAUUUUAAAUAAAAUUUUGUUUAAACUUUUAUAUUUAAUUUUUGGUUUAUCAAACCCGUAUAACAUACGGGUCUCACACCUAGUUCCUUAUCAAUUAAGAUCUCUCUCUCUCUCUCUCUCUCUCUCUCUCUCUCUCACACACACACACACACACACAUCCACACACACACAUCCCCACACGGCUGGAAAGCCCUAAUCCUCCGUUUCCUUCCACCGGUGACUGCCUCUAUUAUUCCCUUUACCCUUUGUUCCAACACUGCCACUAAUCCACCAUAUUCUGCCACUAGAGUCCACCAUGUUUAAGAAAAAAGAUUCCAUAUCCGGUUUAGGAUUUUAAGCUAUCGAAUCAGUUAAAUUUGUUUUACUUUGUAAAGUUCUUUGAGGGUACAUGGAAGAUUGGCUCAUUCGACUCGGUGCCAAAUGAUUUCAUGUAUGAUAUAUGGACCAACAUGUAACACCCCAAAUUCCAGAGGUGCUGUUGAAGGACUUAAAGUGUAAAUUAAGGAAAGUGACUCGACGAGUAGGCAUGCUUACUCGCCGAGUCGGAGCGGGAUUUGUCGCGGGUUUAAGUGGCCAACUUGCCGAGUCGGUGGCUUGGACUCGACGAGUCGGUGCUGGAAUGAGAAAACCCUAAUCCCAAGGGUUGCACCCUAUUUAAAGGACUUUAUGUCCUUCUCCCAGCCUCCUAUUCCCCCUGAGAGUUCCAGAAAACCAUAAUUUUCGUGUGAGACUUCAUUGUUAAGGAAAUUGGAGCUUGGAAGAGGAAUUUGGUGUCAGGAGCUUGAGGAAUUAGAGGCUAGCAUCAAGGGGCUUGUGUAGACCUGGGAUCUACAUCAGUUUGGGCACAUCUCAGAGGUAAGGAGCCAUUAUCUUAAGCUAUUUCCUUUUUGGUUCAUCCUUGGUGGUUGAUUUGGAGUUCCUUAGCUUGUUUGAGAUCUAUUUCGGGUUUGGAGUUUAGAUAUGAGGUUGCUACUAUAGAUCUAGGCAUGUGAUGGUCCAAAAUGUCAUAAAGCUUCUGUUUAAGAGUUGUUGGUGAAGCCCCCUAGUCCUUAACCCUAGCCCUAGUGUGUUUUGGGCCUAUAUCUCCUUGGUUUCACGUAAAGUUUGCAACUUUAUGGGAGGGUUAGACUGUAGAAGAGUGGAUCUAUGGAUUGGAGCCCCUGCAUGGCUCGAAAAGCCAAUGUAUGGGCUGAGAACUGGAGAGAAUUGGCGAGUCACAUGGGUGUACUCGACGAGUUGUAUGAACAUGUGCAUGGACUCGGCGAGUUGGAAGAACAACUCGGCGAGUCUGUUGAAGAUUGUCUUGAACUCGGCGAGUCUGUUCUUGGACUCGGCGAGUGUGGUCGCAGAACCCAACCUUUUUUGGUUAAAGCUUUGGACGAGUGAGUCGGUUGGCGACUCAGUGAGUUGGACAGGAUGAAAUUCCGAGGUCGUUGAACUAGACGAGUCUUGGGGCGACUCGGCGAGUUGAGUCGUGUUAUGAGAGUUUUUCUGAGUAUAAGAACUCGACUAGUCGACGGGUUGACUUGGCGAGUAGAGUCAACUAGGAAGGUUAACUUUGACUGAGGACUUUGACUUUGACCAAGAGUUGACCAGUUUGACUUCCAAGGGUAUUUUGGUAAUUUUGGUAUUUAUGGAAUUGGUUCUUUGGUAGUGUUCUGUGGUGAAGUUCGUGUCGGUGGUCGGAGCAGCUUGGUCUUAUCUCUUCAAUCGGUAAUUGCAGGUGAGUUCUCCUCACUAUACCAAUAGGGUCUACGGCACCAAGGCCGACCCUCUUUGAUUUAUAUCCUGGUUUAGGAUGGUUGCUAUGAUAGAUUUCAUCCUAGUUAUAGGAUAGUUGCUAUGAUAUGGAUUGGUUAGAUCUGCAUGUUUAAUUUUUUAUAUAUAUAUGUGCACAUGUUCGUUGGUUUGGGGAAAGGGUUGAGGCAGGUCCUGCUGUGUGCAGUAGGCCAAGACACCCUGGGCGGACCAGGUAGACUGCAGGCCCGGGCCGGGCAAAUCUAGUCAGGUCGAAGGCCCAGCGAGCGGUCCGGAUAGGCUGAAGGCCCCAAAGACGGCGGUCCAAAUGUGCCGAGGGAUCGGAGAUUGGUCCAGAUAGACUGAGGACCGGGAUUUGGGCCAAUCAGACUAAUGGCUCAUUAGGUACUUCAGGAGAUCGUGGCAAGGUGAAUGCGUGAUCAUACCGCUCCUCAUGUUUUAUGAUCUAUGUGAUAUGGUUCUGGGAGAUACUCUAAUGUUUAAACUAUUUUGAAAACAAGAUGUAUGAAUUCAAUGGUUUUGAAUGAAAUAAAAUGUUUUAAAUUUGGCUCGAA